AAACAGUUGCACAGGGCAGGAGAUAAGCCAGGACAGAAACACUGUCUCACGCUCUGCAAAGACACCCAAUUAAACUGGCUGUUUACACCUUCCUGCCAGAUUCCUGUCUCCCAGCUGAAGAGAGCUGAGCAGCUAAUGAGGCACAGCACAGGAACCAGCAGGGGAAAGGCGAGAGAUUUCGGAAGAAUUGCAGACUCAGCCCGUGCUGGUGGUGAAGCAGAGGGAGAUUGGGCUGUGCCAAGGACUUGAUGACUGUGGUGACCGCUUGAGGAAAAGCUAUGCCCACCAACCGCUGGAGAAAGACUCCUGGUGGAGGUCAGAAAUCACAUCUCCCUAAUCUGUGAACUUCUGAAGCAGGAAGCCCAGCAUUGCUUCUUUGCUGAGGAUGAUAAGGUGAGACUGUCUUCUCCUGUCAUUUUGAGCAGGACAACCUAUGUUUUCAUGGUACUGACUUAAACCGCUAGCAUCUUACACAACAGUAGAUUGUCUGUUGUAAUACAAACGCAUGCUUGUUUGCCAGCUUUCUUAGUGUCCAGUGGGUAAGGCAAAAUUUAUGUUGAUCUUUUUAUAAAA